UACGAAGGGGGCUAGCGUUGUUCGGAAUCACUGGGCGUAAAGCGCACGUAGGCGGAUUGUUAAGUCGGGGGUGAAAUCCUGAGGCUCAACCUCAGAACUGCCUUCGAUACUGGCAAUCUCGAGUCCGGAAGAGGUUGGUGGAACAGCUAGUGUAGAGGUGAAAUGCGUAGAUAUCGGGAGGAACACCAGUGGCGAAGGCGACUACCUGGCCUGUUCUUGACGCUGAGGCGCGAAAGCUAGGGGAGCAAACGGG
rnacentral:rRNA from 1 species